UACACUCCUGCGGGAGGCAGCAGUGGGGAAUAUUGGACAAUGGGCGCAAGCCUGAUCCAGCCAUGCCGCGUGAGUGAUGAAGGCCCUAGGGUUGUAAAGCUCUUUCACCGGUGAAGAUAAUGACGGUAACCGGAGAAGAAGCCCCGGCUAACUUCGUGCCAGCAGCCGCGGUAAUACGAAGGGGGCUAGCGUUGUUCGGAUUUACUGGGCGUAAAGCGCACGUAGGCGGACUAUUAAGUCAGGGGUGAAAUCCCGGGGCUCAACCCCGGAACUGCCUUUGAUACUGGUAGUCUUGAGUUCGAGAGAGGUGAGUGGAAUUCCGAGUGUAGAGGUGAAAUUCGUAGAUAUUCGGAGGAACACCAGUGGCGAAGGCGGCUCACUGGCUCGAUACUGACGCUGAGGUGCGAAAGCGUGGGGAGCAAACAGGAUUAGAUACCCGAGUAGUCCCAUGGU
rnacentral:rRNA from 1 species